GGGUCGGUGUCCGAGUGGCCAAAGGAAGCAGGCUGUAAACCUGCCGGCGUACGCCUACGGAGGUUCGAAUCCUUCCCGGCCCACCA
rnacentral:tRNA from 1 species